GGCCGGCUAGCUCAGUUGGUUAGAGCGUGGUGUGGUGCUAAUAACGCCAAGGUCGUCGGUUCGACCCCGGCGUUGGCCA